rnacentral:rRNA from 1 species
AGAGUUUGAUUAUGGCUCAGGAUGAACGCUAGCGGCAGGCUUAACACAUGCAAGUCGAGGGGCAGCGGGAUGUAGCAAUACAUUGCCGGCGACCGGCGGAUGGGUGCGUAACGCGUAUGCAACCUACCUUAUACAGGGGAAUAACCUUUCGAAAGGGAGACUAACACCCCAUAGUAUUGAUUUAAGGCAUCUUAGAUUAAUUAAAUAUUUAUAGGUAUAAGAUGGGCAUGCGUAUGAUUAGCUAGUUGGUAAGGUAACGGCUUACCAAGGCGACGAUCAUUAGGGGUUCUGAGAGGAAGGUCCCCCACACUGGUACUGAGACACGGACCAGACUCCUACGGGAGGCAGCAGUGAGGAAUAUUGGUCAAUGGGCGCAAGCCUGAACCAGCCAUGCCGCGUGCAAGGAAGACGGCCUUAUGGGUUGUAAACUGCUUUUACAUAAGACUAACCGUAUAUUUGCGAAUAUACCUGAAUGUAUUAUGAGAAUAAGGAUCGGCUAACUCCGUGCCAGCCGCGGC